AUUACCGCAGAAUCUUGUUAAAAUGCAGAAAUUGAUUGUGUGUUGUUGGACCUGAGAUUCUGCAUUUCUAACAAGUUCCCAGUGAUG
rnacentral:miRNA from 1 species